AGCUGGUUGCCCCAGUGACCAGCAGGUGCAGAGGAACCAGAAAGACUAGUUGCAGUUUUCUGCUUCUGAGAUCCUGAAAAGGCUCUGGUGAGUCAAUAGUUAAUGUUUUCUUCUUUAAAAAGAAAAUGUGAAAAUGCCCAAAGGAAGGGUUCUCCAUUUCUCCUUGGGUGUUCCUAAAGGCACAUCACCUUCCCUUAGUUUCAAGACCUAGAAUCAGACCACACAGGCUACCACCCACCUGUCACUGGCCAGGAGAGAGAUCAGCUCAGGGUGCUGUGUGUGCUCAGCCUCCCUGAAGCUCAGCCAAUGACAGCUUCCUGACAGGAAGGGCGAAGAGAAGAGCAGAAGCUGGAAAAUCAAACGACAGCAUCGUCUGAUAGUCCAGCACAGCCGAGGCUCCUUUCAAAGAACGUGCUGGGGCUACCUGAAGCCUUGUUGAAAACAUCAGUCCUGACUCCACAGGCCUGGGAUGGACCUUUGAUUCUGUGUUUUUGACAGGCUCCACAGAGAGGGCAGGAGGAUGGCUGGCCAACGGUCAUACAUUGAGCAAAUCACCACGCAAUAUCAUGUAUUUCUUUUAUGUUUUUUAUUACAUAAAACUUGACAUCUUGGCCUGGUGAGAUGGCUCGGAAGGGGUUAAGACACUACCAAGCCUGAAGACCUGAGCCCCUUCUACAUGGUAGGAGGAAAGAAGUAACUUCUGUGACUUAUUCUCUGGCUUCCAAACGUGCUUUUGUGACAUGUAUGCCCCAAUCUCAAUGUAAUAAACAGAAGGUUUUUGAACUUGCC